rnacentral:sRNA from 1 species
AGCCUAAACUGGAUAGUUUUCUAUACGGCAUGGCUUACAAACCCAACAGCAUACUGAACCGGUCGUUCAGGCUCCAUGCUGUUGGUCCAUGUUCGAAAGGAUAUGGGAGGCGCAAGCCUC